GCUAAACGCGAAGAACCUUACCUGGCCUUGACAUCCUGAGAACCCUCCAGAGACGGAGGGGUGCCCUUCGGGGAACUCAGUGACAGGUGCUGCAUGGCUGUCGUCAGCUCGUGCCGUGAGAUGUUCGGUUAAGUCCGGCAACGAGCGCAACCCUCGCCAUUAGUUGCCAGCAGUUCGGCUGGGCACUCUAGUGGACUGCCUACGAAAGUAGGAGGAAGGCGGGGAUGAUGUCUAGUCAGCAUGGUCCUUACGGCCUGGGCGACACACGUGCUACAAUGGCCGGCACAGCGCGUAGCCACCUCGCGAGAGGGAGCCAAUCGCGAAAGCCGGUCCCAGUUCAGAUCGCAGUCUGCAACUCGACUGCGUGAAGUUGGAAUCGCUAGUAAUCGCGGAUCAGCCANGCCG
rnacentral:rRNA from 1 species